GGCUGGAUGGGUGAGUGGUUAAGCCCGCGGUCUGCAAAACCGUUGUUACCGUCGGUUCGAAUCCGACUCCAGCCU
rnacentral:tRNA from 1 species